ensembl:lncRNA
GCCACGGAACCUCACUGCCAGGAGCCUCCAGCAGAGGAGCGGUCCCCUGGCACCCCGGACGUCUCCUGCCUUUCCUGGCCCCCAUGGGCCCCCCUCUUGGGGCUCGCGCCCACCACCACCAACACCCAGAGCCACAGCUGGCCCCGGAGAACACUCUCUCGCCGAGUACUGUCGCCUCCACGGCCCUCACAGGCAACUUACUCUGCCCAGCUUCCCCCCUCAGGGACUGAGGGCGCCUCUCUGCCCAGAGACGCCGCCGGCCAUGGAGGCCAGGGAAGGACGCCCACAUGAGGCGAGGGCGGUUAGGUCCUAAACAGGGCAAGAAUAUUGGAAUGGGUUGCCGUUUCCUCCUCCAAGGGAUCUUCCCAACCCAGUAAUAGAACCUGUGUCCCCUGUCUCCUGCUUGGCAGGUGGAUCAUUACCACCUGGAAAGCCACCUGGGAAUCCUUUAGUAUGAGCUUCCCCAAAGGGCAAUUCCACUCAUGGGACUGGAGAUACACUGAAUUCAUGGUGACUUCGAAGGAAAGGAAGAAGAAAGUUGAAUGUCCACAGAUGUGUG